AGCAGCCGCGGUAAUUCCAGCUCCAAUAGCGUAUAUUAAAGUUGUUGCAGUUAAAAAGCUCGUAGUCGAAUUUCGGGGUCAGCAGGUCGGUCGUGCCACUGGUAUGAACUGGUCUCGCUGAUCCCUCCCUCUUGACGAACUGUGAUGCCAUUAAUUUGGUGUCGCAGGGAAUCAGGACUGUUACUUUGAAAAAAUUGAGUGUUUAAAGCAGGCUUAAGCUUGAAUACAUUAGCAUGGAAUAAUGAAAUAGGACGUUUGAUCCUAUUUUGUUGGUUUCUAGGAUUGACGUAAUGAUUAAUAGGGAUAGUUGGGGCAUUAGUAGUUCAAUUGUCAGAGGUGAAAUUNUUGGAUUUAUUGAAGACUAACUACUGCGAAAGCAUUUGCCAAGGAUGUUUCAUUAAUCAAGAACGAAAGUUAGGGGAUACGAAGACGAUCAGNUACCGUCGUAGUCCUUAACCAUAAACUAUGCCGACUAGGGAUCGGACGAAGUUUAAAUUAAGUAAAUGAACGCGUUCGGACC
rnacentral:rRNA from 1 species